ACUGCCCAGUUUUCGCACACCUGUACAUCAUACACUGGACUGAAUACAUCUUAAAACAAGAUUUUUUUUCUACAAACACUUAAGAAGAAAAUAAUUGCGAACUGUAAAUCUACUUUCACGUAAGGCUGAAUGACAAUCUCCUAUCUCCCACUCAAGGUUGCUUUACGUGUCACUGGCAGUAGCCAGUUAGAUAGAUACAGCUGUAAGCUAAACCUACUCUCCUGGAAUCAAUACUAUCUCCCACUCACGAACAGCAAGGGUAAAACACACAGUAUCACAGCAUGCAUGAUUGGUGAAGACCUCCUGUCCAUCAUCGCAGGCUAAGUUGCCGAUUUAUUCAACCAAAAAAAAAAAAGCCUCUUCUACAUUUCAAAACUAGCAAGUGCAAAUAAUUUGUUCCAAGGUUCUUCCACAUGGUGGUUCAGAAAUCAGAAGUUUGUCUGGUCACCCGAUCAGCACAAUUCCGGAUGAAUUGUAGUUAGAAACAAAAUAAAUCCCCAGGGUUAAUUCCCAUUCGUAAGAUUGGAGCUUCGUG